rnacentral:rRNA from 1 species
GACGAACGCUGGCGGCGUGCCUAAUACAUGCAAGUAGAACGCUGAAGGAGGAGCUUGCUUCCCUGGAUGAGUUGCGAACGGGUGAGUAACGCGUAGGUAACCUGCCUGGUAGCGGGGGAUAACUAUUGGAAACGAUAGCUAAUACCGCAUAAUAGCAGUUAUUGCAUGAUAACUGUUUGAAAGGUGCAAAUGCACCACUACCAGAUGGACCUGCGUUGUAUUAGCUAGUUGGUGGGGUAACGGCUCACCAAGGCGACGAUACAUAGCCGACCUGAGAGGGUGAUCGGCCACACUGGGACUGAGACACGGCCCAGACUCCUACGGGAGGCAGCAGUAGGGAAUCUUCGGCAAUGGACGGAAGUCUGACCGAGCAACGCCGCGUGAGUGAAGAAGGUUUUCGGAUCGUAAAGCUCUGUUGUAAGAGAAGAACGAGUGUGAGAGGGAAAGUUCACACUGG